rnacentral:rRNA from 1 species
CAGCCGCCGCGGUAACACGGAGGGUGCGAGCGUUAAUCGGAAUUACUGGGCGUAAAGCGUACGCAGGCGGUUUGUUAAGUCAGAUGUGAAAUCCCCGAGCUUAACUCGGGAACUGCAUUUGAAACUGGCAGGCUAGAGUCUCGUAGAGGGGGGUAGAAUUCCAGGUGUAGCGGUGAAAUGCGUAGAGAUCUGGAGGAAUACCGGUGGCGAAGGCGGCCCCCUGGACGAAGACUGACGCUCAGGUACGAAAGCGUGGGGAGCAAACAGGAUUAGAUACCCGUGUAGUCCCUGUCUCUUAUAC